GGAACAGUAGUAAGUGCCCAUUUUGCAAGCCUACUGAAUCUUUUAUGUGGAUUUCCACUAAUAAGAAAGUUUCAUAUCAUAUGUUGUUUUAGUUUUGCAAUUUCUUUUCUUUGUUUAUUUUCUUAUUGGGCUUGUGUGAUUUCAUAUUUAGAUUAUUGGUUUAGUGCUAGAACUAUUAUAGUUGAGAACUGAAAAUGCAAAAUAUAGCAUUAUGAAUUGUUUAUUCAUAUAACAUGAGCAACAGUUUCAUGCAAGUCCAAUUUUGUAAUGCUUUGCGUGUGUAAAUUUAUCUCCUUCACUUUGCC
rnacentral:misc_RNA from 1 species